CUAACGAGGAUUCCCCUAGUAACUGCGAGUGAAGCGGGAAGAGCUCAAAUUUUGAAUCUGGUGGUCUCUGGCCAUCCGAGUUGUAAUCUAGAGAAGCGUCUUCCGUGUCGGACCGUGUACAAGUCUCCUGGAAGGGAGCAUCGUAGAGGGUGACAAUCCCGUCUUUGACACGGACCGCCGGCGCUAUGCGAUGCGCUCUCGACGAGUCGAGUUGUUUGGGAAUGCAGCUCCAAAUGGGUGGUAAACUUCCAUCUAAAGCUAAAUACUGGCGAGAGACCGAUAGUGAACAAGUACCGUGAGGGAAAGAUGAAAAGGACUUUUGGAAAGAGAGUCAAACCAGUUAUGUGAAAUCGCUGGAAGGGAAACGCUCAAAGUCAGUCGCGUCCCCCGGGGAUCAACCUUGCGAUGCAUCGCAUCGCUGGGCGUACUUCCUGGUUGGGAUGGGUCAGCAUCGAUCUCGGUCGUGGUAGAAGGGCGAGAGUGAAAGUGGCACUCUCCGGAGUGUGUUACAGCCUCUCGCAUGGGAUGCGACGACGUUGGGAUCGAGGAACUCGGCACGACCCUCUCGGUGGGGUUCGGGGCUCUGGCUCACGUUCGCGUGCCCAGGAUGCUGGCAUAAUGGCUUGGAGCGACCCGUCUUGAAACACGGACCAAGGAGUCCAACGUGCGUGCGAGUGUUCGGGUGGCAAACCCGUGCGCGAAAUGAAGGUGAAAGUCGAGACCUCUGUCAUGGAGGGCAUCGACGCCCGGACCUGAGCCUAUGGCAAGGGAUCCGCGGUGGAGCACAUACGUUGGGACCCGAAAGAUGGUGAACUAUGCCUGAAUAGGGCGAAGCCAGAGGAAACUCUGGUGGAGGCUCGUAGCGAUUCUGACGUGCAAAUCGAUCGUCGAAUUCGGGUAUAGGGGCGAAAGACUAAUCGAACCAUCUAGUAGCUGGUUCCUGCCGAAGUUUCCCUCAGGAUAGCAGAAGCUCGAGAGUCAGAUUUAUGUGGUAAAGCGAAUGAUUAAGAGGUCUUGGGGUCGAAACGACCUUAACCUAUUCUCAAACUUUGAAUGUGUAAAGAACGGGUGGUCGCUUGGAUGGACCGCUCGGUGAUUGAGAGCUUCUAGUGGGCCAUUUUUGGUAAGCAGAACUGGCGAUGCGGGAUGAACCGAACCGGGAGGUUAAGGUGCCGGAGUACACGCUCAUCAGACACCCACGAAAGGUGUUAGUUCAUCCAGACAGCAGGACGGUGGCCAUGGAAGUCGGAAUCCGCUAAGGAGUGUGUAACAACUCACCUGCCGAAUGAACUAGCCCUGAAAAUGGAUGGCGCUCAAGCGUGUCACCCAUACCUCCCCGUCGGCGUCGGACCUUGACGCGCUGACGAGUAGGCAGGCGUGGAGGUUGUGAAGAAGCCUCGACAG
rnacentral:rRNA from 1 species